rnacentral:rRNA from 1 species
AUGUUAUGGUGCUUGACAUCAGUGACUACUUCAAGCUACAGAUGCUGCUUUGUGGAUGUCUGGAUACUUGUUAGAACUAUAUUACAUGAUGUGGUGAAGAGGUGCUGGUUGAUAAAGGGUGAACACACAAGUUGCUUGCUGUUGCCGUUGAUAUUGUUUGUGCUGUAUCCCUUAAUGAUGAUGAUGGUGCUGGUGAUGGAGAUGAUGAUGGUGAUGCUGGUGGGGGUUGAUGACGCUGGUGAUCAUUUUGCUGCAUGCACUCUUGUUAUGCUGACAAGUAAGGUUCAAAUGAUCCAGCUGAGGUUCACUGCUUAA